GAUGAACGCUGGCGGCGUGCCUAAUACAUGCAAGUCGAGCGAACGGACGAGAAGCUUGCUUCUCUGAUGUUAGCGGCGGACGGGCGAGUAACACGUGGAUAACCUACCUAUAAGACUGGGAUAACUUCGGGAAACCGGAGCUAAUACCGGAUAAUAUUUUGAACCGCAUGGUUCAAAAGUGAAAGACGGUCUUGCUGUCACUUAUAGAUGGAUCCGCGCUGCAUUAGCUAGUUGGUAAGGUAACGGCUUACCAAGGCAACGAUGCAUAGCCGACCUGAGAGGAUGAUCGGCCACACUGGAACUGAGACACGGUCCAGACUCCUACGGGAGGCAGCAGUAGGGAAUCUUCCGCAAUGGGCGAAAGCCUGACGGAGCAACGCCGCGUGAGUGAUGAAGGUCUUCGGAUCGUAAAACUCUGUUAUUAGGGAAGAACAUAUGUGUAAGUAACUGUGCACAUCUUGACGGUACCUAAUCAGAAAGCCACGGCUAACUACGUG
rnacentral:rRNA from 1 species